UUCUCUCUGCGAAUUCUCUUUGAAUUCUCUUCGAAUCUCUCAUUAAGGUUUGCGUUUUAUUAUGCUUUCUACAUCAUAUUACACUAAUUUUCUGCAAUAGACUGCUAAUUUGAUUAUUUAUUUUCUAUUUUGCUUGAUUUCUUAGAUGCUCUCUGUGAUUAUGUUGCAUGCAAACAUCGUGUUUGAUGAUUUGCCUCAAAUAAAGAGUUUAAGCUUGUUGUCACCGAUUUUGAUGAUUUGAUGAUUUAUUUUCUGCCUGGUUUAUUAACUGCUUCUGUUGUAUAGUUUCAGCUCUUGAACAAAACUUGAAGAUCACUUUCUGUUUGUUGCCGUUUUCUUUGAAUCUUAUAUAAUAAUUGCUGAAUUUUGAUCUUUUGAAUUUGUUAAUGUUUCUUUCUUUGUCUUGUUCUGAUGCCUAACUUCUUUGUUACUUUGAUGUUUCAAGAACAUUUGAUUAGCCAUGGCAUUGCCAUUAGUUUCAUAUUGAAAAUUGGUUUCCAUGGUGUAAAAGAAAAAUAAUAACAUGAUAAUAGUUGUGUCUUAUUCAUUGAUUGUUGUAUGCAAGUUGAUAUGGUUUAUCUGAAAAGCAACAGUUGAAUUUAUUACUCAUUUGUCAACAUUAUUUUCAAUUUCCAGGAAUAUAGACACAUAUCUUCAAGAAGAAUUUCUUUUUUUUAUUCAUCCAAACCUCAGCCUCAUCAGUUUACCAUUUUGGCCCGCAGCACUCCUACUUACCCUGGUUGCAGCAUCAGUGAUAGUGUUGAGAACUUCUUUAAAGACCUUUAUCCUUCUAUAUACCUUUAUCCUUCUUGAAAAUGGAAGAGAAUACUCGACCUAAUUCAAAGCAAACUAAGCGUCAAUGGACGCCACACGAAGAUGCAAAAUUAGUUGAGUGUUUGGUAGAGCUUGCAACUACUUCUUGAAAGUGUGACAAUGGCACGUUUAAAUCCGGUUAUGGAAAACAUUUGGAAAAAAUGCUGCAUGAAAAGAUCCCUGGAUGUGAUCUUAAGGCUAAUCCACACAUUGAAUCAAGGGUGAAAUUGCUAAAAAGAUAAUAUUUUACAAUAGUUGAGAUGAUGGGCACAGCUAGGAGUGGAUUUGGUUGGAACGACAAAGAUAAAAUGAUUGUGGUGGAGCGACAAAUUUUCAAUGAAUGGAAGAGUUCCCAUCCUAAUGCUAAUGGCCUUUAUAAUAAAUCAUUUCCACAUUUUGAGGAGUUGGGAAUAGCAUUUGGUAGAGAUAGGGCUCAAGGAGGCAAUGCAGAAAAUGUAACUCAAGCAGUUGCUACAAUGGAGGCUGAGCGCAAAGCAACCUUGAGUGAUCGGCAAGUGAAUGAAAAUACCCAAGUAAAUUUGGAAGAGACCGAAAUAGAAUAUGAAGCUGAUUCUCAAGUACGUAAGCAAUUGACUCUAAUUCAUGUACAUAAAUUCACUUAUUGUUGAUCCUACUGCUGUGUAUUUUCUUGGAUUUUGGAGUGAUUCUUCAUUAGUUCAUUUACUUUAAUCUGUGCCUGUAACUAGCCUUAACUAUUCCCAUCAUGUUGAGCAUUUAGAUAAAAAUACUGAUCUUCAUUUCUGUGGAGUAUAAUAACAAAGAAAAAAAGGAUAUGAAUGUAAUUAUGCAAACAGAAUUAGAAUCAG